rnacentral:misc_RNA from 1 species
UUGACGCGGUAUGCGGGU